GGUAUUUUGACUAUACGAAGGUAUUGAAAUAAGAUUUUAAAUGAGUGCUAAGAGAAUGAUUAAACAAUUAAAAGCUUUCUUUAAUUGAAUAAUUGAAUUUAAUUUUUUAGUGCAAAAGCAAAAAUAAAAAUUAGGGACAAGAAGACCCUAUGAAUUUUUUAUUAAAUUUUAUAAAACUUUAUAUAAAAUUUAAUUUAAUUGGGGUGAUGGAAAAAGAAUAAAUAUCUUUUUUUUAAAAAAAAUUGGUUCCGUUUUUAGCGAUUAAAUGAAAAAAAUACUCUAGGGAUAACAGCGUAAUAAUUUUGGAUAGUUCAUAUAGAUAAAAUAGUUUGCGACCUCGAUGUUGGAUUAGGAUUCUUUUUUGGUGAAGAAGU
rnacentral:rRNA from 1 species